GACGAACCGUGCGAACGUUGUUCGGAAUCACUGGGCGUAAAGCGCACGUAGGCGGCUUUCUAAGUCGGGGGUGAAAUCCUGGAGCUCAACUCCAGAACUGCCUUCGAUACUGGAGAGCUCGAGUCCGGGAGAGGUGAGUGGAACUGCGAGUGUAGAGGUGAAAUUCGUAGAUAUUCGCAAGAACACCAGUGGCGAAGGCGGCUCACUGGCCCGGUACUGACGCUGAGGUGCGAAAGCGUGGGGAGCAAACAGGG
rnacentral:rRNA from 1 species